GAUGAACGCUAGCGGCAGGCCUAAUACAUGCAAGUCGAACGGGAUUAAGAGGCUUGCUUCUUAUGAGAGUGGCGCACGGGUGCGUAACACGUAUGCAACCUACCUUCAACAGGGGGAUAGCCUUCCGAAAGGGAGAUUAAUACCGCAUAAUAUAAUUGAACGGCAUCGUUUGAUUAUCAAACUUACAAGGGUUGAAGAUGGGCAUGCGUCCGAUUAGUUAGUUGGUGAGGUAACGGCUCACCAAGGCGACGACGGGUAGCCGGCCUGAGAGGGUGACCGGCCACACUGGGACUGAGACACGGCCCAGACUCCUACGGGAGGCAGCAGUGGGGAAUAUUGGGCAAUGGAGGAAACUCUGACCCAGCGACGCCGCGUGAGGGAUGAAGGCCUUCGGGUUGUAAACCUCUUUCAGCAGGGAAUAAGCGAAAGUGAAGGUACCUGCAGAAGAAGCACCGGCUAACUAUGUGCCAGCCGCCGCCGUAAAAC
rnacentral:rRNA from 1 species